AACGAACGCUGGCGGCGUGCCUAACACAUGCAAGUCGUGCGAGAAAGUUCCUUCGGGAGCGAGUAAAGCGGCGCACGGGUGAGUAACACGUAGGUAACCUGCCCCCCAGUCUGGAACAACUAGAGGAAACUCUAGCUAAUGCCGGAUGAGACCACGAUCCCUUCGGGGGUUGCGGCCAAAGAUGGCCUCUACUUGUAAGCUAUCGCUGAGGGAUGGGCCUGCGGGCCAUUAGCUUGUUGGUGAGGUAACGGCUCACCAAGGCUGUGAUGGCUAGCUGGUCUGAGAGGAUGACCAGCCACACUGGGACUGAGACACGGCCCAGACUCCUACGGGAGGCAGCAGUGGGGAAUAUUGCGCAAUGGGCGAAAGCCUGACGCAGCGACGCCGCGUGGGUGAUGAAGGCCUGGUC
rnacentral:rRNA from 1 species